AUACUAUUUACUAAAUAAAAACAGCAUCAAAAUCGGUUGGGUAGUUUUAAAGAUGUAAGCAUUAAGACAGCCGGAAGCGACUUUGUUUUAUACCA